AUAAAUGCUGAAGAGAACUUUGAAAGGACCAAUCUCUAAAACUCCUUCUUGUUCAUUCUUGAUUGUUUGAUGAAACUUUUUAAUGUGUGUGUUCUUGUGCUAGGGAUUCCAACAUUGAGCCUAAGUGAGGAACUAUUGCCAUGAGCUUCCAAGAGAGAGAGAUCUAAGAGCCAUUGAGGAACUUUCCAAGAGCUAAAUUGAUUGUUGAUUGCUUGAGC
rnacentral:lncRNA from 1 species